UGACCAGUCUGAUUGGUUGCAGGAGG
rnacentral:piRNA from 1 species